GGACAGAUGGCCGAGCGGUCUAUGGCGCUACGUUCAGGUCUUGGAUCAUCCAAAUGCUAUUCGUAGUCUCGAAAGGGGCGUGGGUUCGAAUCCCACUCUGUUCA